rnacentral:rRNA from 1 species
UACGGGGGGAGCAAGCGUUGUUCGGAUUUACUGGGCGUAAAGGGCGCGUAGGCGGCCAACUAAGUCGGAUGUGAAAUCCCCAGGCUUAACCUGGGAACUGCAUCCGAUACUGGAUGGCUUGAAUCCGGGAGAGGGAUGCAGAAUUCCAGGUGUAGCGGUGAAAUGCGUAGAUAUCGGAAGGAACAUCAGUGGCGAAAGCGGCUUCCUGGACCAGUACCGACGUUCAGGCACGAAAGCGUGGGGAGCAAACAGG